GUUCCAAGAGGCAGCUGAUUAUGAGACAAAGUCGCUUUCUACCUUAAGAAACCAAAAAGCUCUAGCCUUUGUGAUUGUGGAGAAAAGUCUGAGACAUAACCAGGACCCUGGAGAACCCAACAAGCUAAAUUCUGUUCCCAUCUCAUUCGAGCAAGGUUGCCUCUCAGAGCGGGGGAGGCCUAUGCAGACACAGGACUCCCAGUGUAUUUGGUGGUGCUGACUUCUGAGGGAAUUCGGAGCAGGCUUGCAAGAGGAGAGGAAGAAGUAAUUGGAGGGAAGAAGACAGUUUUUAAGGCCUUCACUGGCAGUUGUCCCCCAGCU
rnacentral:lncRNA from 1 species